CGAAAGCUGAAUCGCCGUCUUGGUGAAAGUCCGGUGAGGACUUGGAAAGGAAGUCUGGUGCUAUCAGCCGGGAAACACGGACAACAUGGACCGCAACGGCGCAAUGUCAUAAUUCCCACCUUUAACUUAGCGCAAGACUUUGUAGGGCCGUAUGGAGCGCGACAGAAGUUUCUAGGAGAUGCCGACAAGGCCACAUGGGGACCAGAGGAGUACGCAAGAGCCUGAAAAGAACAUCAUGUUUCGAUGCCGGUGGUCAUAGCGGAGUUUUUUGCAAAUCCUGCGACGUGGAGAGGCAAUAUUGGGUGAUCUGAUCAGCCAUGUGAGCCAACUCGAUGACGUCAUGACCGUAUUCAGCAGCACCAGACGGCGUGAAAGGCAGGAUGGUGCCAAAGGGAAACGUGGUGUCGCGACCACACGAAAGGGCGUGUCUACCCAGCUCCACAUCCGCAUUCUGGAGGGCCCCAAGUCGCUGCAUACUCGGCGGAGCAGCAACAUUCUCACCCGCAAAGUGGAGUUCUUGCAUCGAUCUACAGGAGGCCCAUAUUCACGAUGUUACCACCAUCACCACCACCACCACCACCACCACCACCACCACCACCCCACCACCACCACCACCAG